CCUCCGUAGGGUAACCUGCGGAGGGAUCAUUACCGAGUUUACAACUCCCAAACCCAAUGUGAACGUUACCAAACUGUUGCCUCGGCGGGAUCUCUGCCCCGGGUGCGUCGCAGCCCCGGACCAAGGCGCCCGCCGGAGGACCAACCAAAACUCUUUUUGUAUACCCCCUCGCGGGUUUUUUUUUUAUAAUCUGAGCCUUCUCGGCGCCUCUCGUAGGCGUUUCGAAAAUGAAUCAAAACUUUCAACAACGGAUCUCUUGGUUCUGGCAUCGAUGAAGAACGCAGCGAAAUGCGAUAAGUAAUGUGAAUUGCAGAAUUCAGUGAAUCAUCGAAUCUUUGAACGCACAUUGCGCCCGCCAGUAUUCUGGCGGGCAUGCCUGUCCGAGCGUCAUUUCAACCCUCGAACCCCUCCGGGGGGUCGGCGUUGGGGAUCGGCCCUGCCUCUUGGCGGUGGCCGUCUCCGAAAUACAGUGGCGGUCUCGCCGCAGCCUCUCCUGCGCAGUAGUUUGCACACUCGCAUCGGGAGCGCGGCGCGUCCACAGCCGUUAAACACCCAACUUCUGAAAUGUGACCUCGGAUCAGGUAGAAAGCCACUC
rnacentral:rRNA from 1 species